CGCAUAGCGGGAGCCGGAAGAUAGUCCCCCUGCAGCUUUACGGGGGGGCAGGACUCCUGACUCUCGCCCCGAGCAAUCGGGUUACCCUGCCUUUUGAGCACCAUUUGUUUCCUCGGCGGGCUUGCCCGCCAGUGGGGACCCCAAAAAACCUUUUGUAAUGAGAAGUAACCGUCAGUAAGAUAAAAUUUAUCA
rnacentral:misc_RNA from 1 species